rnacentral:tRNA from 1 species
GCCUGGCUGGCUCAGUCGAAAGAGCAUGUGACUCUUGAUCUUGGGAUCAUGAGUUAAAACCCCAUGUUGGGUG